rnacentral:tRNA from 1 species
AAUAAGAUAAGCUAAGAAUAAGCUGUUGGGUUCAUACCCCAAAUAUGAAUGUUAAUUCUCUUAUUA